UCUCUGUUUACAUCUAUAGUUGUAUAUAUCGUAUCUGUCCUUCUUUGUUGUGAGUCUUUCUGUCUGUUUGUAUUUCCGCCCAUCACCAUGAAUGAUUCAGAACUCCAAGAACAGUUUAUGAAGCUGGAUAACCUGGUUGAUCAUCAAGAACUCAAUGAUGAACUCCAAAGUCUUGAUGACUUGCUCGGUGAGCUGCAGGAAGAGGAGGAAGCAGCACCAGUAAAGACACCUGAACCAAGGGUGCAUUGGAGAAAGAGAGACAUUGAUGGAAACAUUGUCUAUGCAAGGCCAAGAUCAAGCAGGAAUCAGUCAAAUAAGGCUGAUCACAUUCAGAAAACGGAUCCUCCCAUCAAUGCUCCUGACACUAACUGUGAGGUGACCUUUGCUCCAGAGACUGUUGAGUGUUUUCUGCAAGAUCUCCAGCACUCACUGAGCACCUCAGAUGAUGAGGCAUCACCUCUUGGAACCUCAAGAGAUCCUCUCCCAGCUUCCUCGAGCUGGAGCACACGACAAAGUCUCUUCUCAGAGAGGUGGAGGGCAGAGAGACCCCGUCUGGUGAACACCGCUGCGGCACAAGAAAAUGUGGCAACACGCAUCUGCCAACAGUGUGGGAGCAAUCCAGCUGCUGUCCGGUGUGGUGACUGUCGACCACGCCCCUUCUACUGUGCUGAAUGUGAUGUCAGCAUGCACACCAGACAUGUUCUCCAUAACCGAGAUGCCAUGACACCUGGGUUCUACCAGCCACUGCCUCCAACAACUUUUGUCAUAGAUAAGGCUCUUUCCCAUUGUGUACGGCUUGUACCUGUGGAGAUUCCUGACAUAAUGUGUGGUUGUUCAUCAGAGUCAUUGAGGCUCAGCCCAGGGAAGACUGUUGCUGUGAUCACAAUGAAUGGUACGGGUGUGAAGAUAAACAUCUAUACAUGCUCUACUCCCAUAAGUUUGGCACAGAAAUGAAGAUGGCAGCACCAGGACUGUAAGAAUGCUGGAUCAGCGAACUGUCCGCUUUGGUCGUGACUGGGAGAUGGAAGAGGCAGCAGGUGGAGGACAAGACUGUGGAAGGGAGAGAUCUGUGGGGAUAAGAGAUGGAGGAGAGACAGAGGUGGCAGAAGGUGCUGGUGAACAGAUUGAGGUUUUUGUCUUUUUCUUCCUCUGUUGCAAAGACUUAGAGCAUGGCAGUGAGGUGGAGGAGGAGAAGACUGUGGAGGAAGAACAGCUGUAAAAGUAGUACAGUUGCUGUGGGCCCCUGUACAGUUGGUUCCACUGAGACCGAUUGGUAGGAAUUACGUCCCUCGUUCCUGUUCUGAUGCUGCAGCUGGCUUAUCCUGAUGACAGCAAAUGUGAUCAGAGCUAGAGCCCCCAGAACCACCCCAACAAUCACAAUCCAAACCCAAGCAGCUGGAACGGGAAUGUGAGAAGACAUCACAGUUUUUUUUUUUUUUUUUUAAUUGUUUUUUUCUUUAUAAAACUUACUGCUUAAAGAUUUUGAAAAGCUCUCAAUGCUCUUGUUUUACUUACGAAGAUGUUCAGUGGCAUUAGGUUUUUCAUCAUCUGUGUCCAGUUUGUCCUUUGAUUCUGUACCUGAUUCUGUACCUAUUGAGAGGUCAGUCACACAGUUUAGCAUCAAUUUGCUGUUCAAAUCAUGAUGAAUAAACCUCAGCUGUGCACUUUAUAAAUAAUAUUCCUAGCAUCCACUGAGUUUCUCUCACCUGUGACA